rnacentral:rRNA from 1 species
AUACGGAGGGUGCAAGCGUUGUUCGGAAUCAUUGGGCGUAAAGCGCGUGUAGGCGGUCAGUUAAGUCUGAUGUGAAAGCCCGGGGCUCAACCCCGGAAGUGCAUUGGAUACUGGUUGACUAGAGGGCGAGAGAGGGAAGUGGAAUUCCUGGUGUAGGGGUGAAAUCCGUAGAUAUCAGGAGGAACAUCAGUUGCGAAGGCGGCUUCCUGGCUCGUUUCUGACGCUGAGACGCGAAAGCGUGGGUAGCAAACAGGAUUAGAAACCCGUGUAGUCC